ACGGGGUGCAGCAGGCGCGAAACCUUUACACUGCACGGAAGUGCGAUAGGGGAAUCCCAAGUGCGAGGGCAUAUUCGCCCUCGCUUUUGUUGACCGUAAGGUGGUCAACGAAUAAGAGCUGGGCAAGACCGGUGCCAGCCGCCGCGGUAAUACCGGCAGCUCGAGUGAUGUCCAAUAUUAUUGGGCCUAAAGCGUCCGUAGCUGGCCGCGCAAGUCCGUCGGGAAAUCCACCUGCCCAACAGGUGGGCGUCCGGCGGAAACUGUGUGGCUUGGAACCGGAAGGCUCAGAGGGUACGUCCGGGGUAGGAGUGAAAUCCCGUAAUCCCGGACGGACCACCGAUGGCGAAAGCACUCUGAGAAGACGGCUUCGACAGUGAGGGACGAAAGCUAGGGUCUCAAACCGGAUUAGAUACCCCUGUAGUCC
rnacentral:rRNA from 1 species